GAGGCCUGCCUGCCCAGUGACAAACGUUCAACGGCCGCGGUAUCCUGACCGUGCAAAGGUAGCAUAAUCACUUGUUCCUUAAUUGGGGACUGGAAUGAAUGGCCUCACGAGGAUUCAACUGUCUCUUACCUCUAAUCAGUGAAAUUGACCUCCCCGUGAAGAGGCGGGGAUACAACAACAAGACGAGAAGACCCUAUGGAGCUUUAAUUUUCUGUCUUAACUACUAAAUAACUAACCCUACUGGGAUAAAAAAAAAGAGAAGUAAGUCAGUAAUUUCGGUUGGGGUGACCUCGGAGAAUAAAACAACCUCCGAAUGAUUUUAACCAAGACAAACAAGUCAAAGUAUUAAAAAUCAAAUUGACCCAAUUCAUUUGAUCAACGGACCAAGUUACCCUAGGGAUAACAGCGCAAUCCUAUUCAAGAGUCCAUAUCGACAAUUAGGGUUUACGACCUCGAUGUUGGAUCAGGACAUCCCAAUGGUGCAGCAGCUAUUAACGGUUCGUUUGUUCAACGAUUAAAGUCCUACGUGAUCUG
rnacentral:rRNA from 1 species